rnacentral:rRNA from 1 species
CCUACGGGAGGCAGCAGUGAGGAAUAUUGGUCAAUGAACGCAAGUCUGAACCAGCCAUGCCGCGUGCAGGAAGACGGCUCUAUGAGUUGUAAACCGCUUUUGUACGGGGGCAAAGGCAGAUACGUGUAUCUGUCUGAAAGUAUCGUACGAAAAAGGAUCGGCUAACUCCGUGCCAGCAGCCGCGGUAAUACGGAGGAUUCAAGCGUUAUCCGGAUUUAUUGGGUUUAAAGGGUGCGUAGGCGGUCGGAUAAGUUAGAGGUGAAAUCCCGAGGCUCAACUUCGGAAUUGCCUCUGAUACUGGUGGUCUAGAGAGUAGUUGUGGUAGGCGGAAUGUGUGGUGUAGCGGUGAAAUGCUUAGAGAUCAUACAGAACACCGAUUGCGAAGGCAGCUUACC